rnacentral:lncRNA from 1 species
GGGAGGGGGGGAGGGAGGGGGAGAGGGUUGGGGACGUGGGGUGACCUCGUGGUGGCCACCCAUCCCCACGUCCCUCUUGGUGGCCCUGGGGGAACCCCCAUGUGAAGGUGACCUCGUGGUGGCCACCCAUCCCCACGUCCUUCUUGGUGGCCCUGGGGGAACCACCGUGGGUGGCCCUGUUGGGACCCCAGGGGGAAGGUGACCUCAUGGUGGUGGUGGUCACCCAUCCCCACGUCCCUCUUGUAGCUUGUAGGUCACAGCCGGAACCACUCGAGGUGGUCCUGGUGGAACCCCGAUGUGAAGAUGGUGGUGAUGAGGUGGAUCUGGAGCUUCUCUGCAUCUUCUGGAGCUCCGCGCUGGAGAAGACCAAGGUGUCCUGGCUGCUGAACGGGAAGGAGAUGCCACCUCCCACCCCCACCAGUGAGGUGGAAGGUGGGAGGAGCUCGUUGAAAAUCAAGAGGUCCAGCUGGGACAAAGGGGACCUCUACACCUGCAAGGUGACCACCUCGGGGGGAAGGGACGUGGUGAUGAGGAACACCAGCAAGUGCACGGCCUGUUGGGGGGCCACCACGACCCCCAACCUCUUCACCACUCAACCCUCCUACGCCGACCUCCUGGCCGGCCCGGCCGUGGCCACCUGCCUUCUCCUGGGGUGGCACCUCCGGGGGGCCACCCUCUCCUGGGAGGGGGACACCCUGGGGACCCCGGCACUCACCCCUCACCCCAACGGCACCCAAGGUCUUCUCCUGACCCACCCCGUCUCCCUGGACCAGUGGGUGGACGGCCACACCCUCAGGUGCCUGGCCACCCUCCCCUGUCGCCCCAGACUUGACCAGAACCUCAAACUGGGACCCAACAGUGAGUUAUGGGGGUGUACUGGGACAUACUGGGCCAUACUGGGCUAUACUGGGCCAUACUGGGCUGUCCUGGGCCAUACUGGGCCGUACUGGGCUGUCCUGGGCCAUAUGGGACCAUACGUGGCCAUACUGGGCCUUACUGGGUUGUACUGGGCUACAUGGGNCCAGACUUGACCAGAACCUC